AGGCUUUUCACCCCAGGACACGGAAUAGGAAUACAAUUUAUGGUACCCAACAUGGACGAAGGAGGGACCGCUUCGAUACCAAACAGAAAAGAGCUACGCAGGCAGAAGCUGAUGGAAUACUUGGCAGCAAAGGGGCAACUGUCACAACCUAACGCUAAGUCACACCCCCAGGAUGACUGUCUGGUUAAGAAGCCUUCUAUUUCCAGACUAAAGGCACAACUGGUCAAGGAAAAAGAAAACCAAGCACCACUUGCU